rnacentral:misc_RNA from 1 species
GCGGAAAUAACAUUUUUAUAAAUAACACACAUAUAAACAAGACCUUGCACUUCAUCAAUUUAGGUAUAUACGUAGGACAGCCCAAUGUACUAAGCUCUGCUAUGCAUGGGUUCGGGGAAGGAUCGAACCAUAAAGUUAUUGCACGUAGUCUUACCCUACAUUUAUCGAGACGAUUUAGAAAACAACAUAAUCUGGGAUGAGUAUAGAACUCAUCAAGGUUCUUUUCAGGCAACAACAAAAGCACUAGAUGAACCUUCAAAAUGCUUAACUGAACCCAAAAGAGCCUUUGCAGCACCAAAAUGUCUGAUUCUAUAUACACCUGAAGCAGCUGACUCUGGUAUCCUCCACUCGAUCGUUGCCUCACUCCGAGUGCUGAGUUUAGCAGGUCUUGACCAUAUAAACCGAAGGCAGAAGUCAUCGUCAUCAUAAGCAGGAACCCAAGUGUCCUUUCCUUGAAGAAUCUCGACGAGAGCAAAUGUACCUUCAAUCAUGAGGUCAUUCCUGGGGCAUGCUGACCAGAAAACAACCGAGACAAGGUCACCCCUCUUGAAAGUCGAACUUUGAGGAACAUCGGUGAUUAAGUCACCAAAUUUGGAACCAAGUGGUGUGGCAUCCAUUACAACCGGUGUCAACAAACUUAUCUGUUUUUCUAGCAAAUCAGGGGGUUGAGGACCUGCUUGCAAGGUCUUUCCUGUGAUAAGAGAAGACGCUAGCGUCUUGAACUGUUGGAUGUAAGCGCUAAGUGUAUGUGGACCAUACAGAGUAGAGGCACCCUCAUAUCUCUGUAUCUCGUACUCCUCAAAGGUGGUUAUGUAUUGUGAAUAUGUAUUAGUCAAUCCAGCUAGCACAACAUGAAUAUUGCUACCAAACUCCUUGGUACCCCCACUCGUGAGCACCGUCUUCACAGCAUCUCGUAGGCGUCUACCUGCCAUUGUAGUGAAUUCUCCAGGUACGCUGAGAAUGACCAGCUGCCCUAUUCUUACAAUCUGCAGAGGAAGUAUUGAAGGUGCCCAAUCAUAUGGCACCUUCAUUUCACCAGUAUCAAGCAAAAUGGGCUUGGGAUGUUGACACUUGUUUUGUUCAGCACUUGGUGUUUUAAGCAAGUUUCGCACCAACCUCCAAAAUGCAUUUCCCUGGUCAUCGCCCUGCUUAAAAUCAAAUGCUCCGGGUCCAUCAGUUGUACCGGCAGCAAAUGCAAAUCCCAUAGCAGCAGGACAGGUUUUAACCGUUUCAGUACUACCACCCUCUUUUGUAACUGUUACCUCAAGAUUGGAGAAGUCUACAUAGGUGUGGCGAAAAUCAAUCUUGCCCUUUACUUGCUCUGUUGCUGUAUCGAAAAGUUCAACAGCUUUUUUAAAUUGUCUCUCUCCAAUGAUGCGCGUACUCUCAAAUUCAUCGGGAUAUCCUGGUCCUCGACCAUAACAUAACUCGUUCUUUCCACCGCACGUACUAUGAUUGAAAUCACAAGGAAGCCCUGUGUCUAUGCAGAAUGUACCGAGCACAUUGGGACUUACAUCACCACAGUUGGAUUGACAAAAAGCAGAAACAAAUUUUGGCCGAUCAGCCAACCUUAAGGCACUUCUGACACGUCUGGCCACGCUCAUUAACCUUGUGACUGGCUUACCUGGAGAAGACUGGAAAGAAGCAGCAAUUUCUAGUAGCUCAUGAUGCUUCCCACGAACAGAUGGUAUGAUGUUUGAGACUCUUCGGGGAAGUUCACUUGCUUUAGAUACAUUAAACUUUGACGGUUCAGUAUUUCUCUGAUCAUACCAGUCUUCCAUAAACCGUGCAGCAGCUCCUUUGUUGUCCCCACUAAUCAAAGAGUUAGUUCGACUCAUAGAAGUUCCAUGAGUU